GUGCUCGCUUGGUCAGCAAAUAUACUAAAAUUGGAAAGAUAUAGAGAAGAUUAACAUGGCCCUUGCACAAGGAUGACACGCAAAUUUGUGAAGCAUUCUAUAUUUAA